UAAAUAAAUAAAAUCUUUAAAAAAAAAAAGAAAGAAAAGAACUGGAAGUCUAGAAAGUUCUCAAAGUCACCAAGGAAUCUGAACUCAGUGUAAAAAUUCUCUGAUGACAGAAAUAAUAGCUAUUUCUUAAACUUGCCAUGUGCCAGUGCCUAUCAAAAUAUCACAAGUUAUAUUUUUUAAUUUGCAGGAAAAGCAAGAAUUAUUAUCCCCUUUUGACAGGUGAGGAAACUGAACUCAAAGCAGGCCCUUGUCACAGCUCACACAGCUGGUAAAUGGCAGGGCUGGGUCCAGACUCUAGCCCACCCCCUGCACUGCCCUGCUGUGGUUUACAGCCUACAUGUGAUCAGCCAAUUACUGCACUUAAAACCGAUCAACAUGAAGGUGAGACAAGAAAGUGUGCACGGCAGUGCUGGAGGAAGACUCAGAAAUGGGACACCUGAGUAAUGAGGCAGGUUCUGAGCCAAGACCUCUGAGCUCUAUCUGGCAGGAUGAUGGGGAUGGCGGAAGGCAGCGGAGAGGUGGACUUGAAAGCUGGGGAAACCCCACUGAUGUUGUCCUGUUGUGACACAAUGUGAGGAGCAGAUCAGAAAUGGCAGGCAGGUUCUGUGUGCUACAGGUGGGACCAGAGGAGCGAAGAGGAGUCGGCAACAAGGGAGCUGUCCCUUAGGAAGUGCUAUUCACACUGGAUCCUGAAGAUUUGCAAUGGGACCUGGAUUUUUAUCUAUUUAUUCAUGAGAGACAGAGAGAGAGAGGCAGAGACACAGGCAGAG